UUUAAUGAAUGAAAGAGAUGACAGCGGGAUUUGUGUUACGACUGCGAGAGUUGGAGUUUCUGUGAAACAGAUAUCGAGGCAGCCAUGUAGAUGAAAUAACCCAUGCCUUGUUUCUAUCGAGUACCAUCAUCUUCGGGUCCUUUAUUUCUCUCCUCAUUUACUUUCAAACCUGCUGAACAAAAAUAAAUCUAGAAACCCUCUACUGAAACCAUCGGAGAACAAUCAUGAUUCUCUAUCAGUCAUUAGAGAAGAGCACAGAAAAACCCUUUGCAUCUACUAAAAUCAAGUAAAUCAAAUCAAUCUAUUCUCUCAACAGAUCUAUUCGAGGUCGUCUUUUUCGUCUUCGAAGUUAACAACUUAUCUGCAAUCGGUCGAUGAUGGUAUUAUUGGAGGUGUUCCUGGUGGCUAUGUCCUAACAAUUAAAAAUGUUUGCAUGGCUUGCAUUAUGCAAGGUCUUCGAUAAGAACUUUUUUGCAGGAUAUAAAUGGACCCGUGAGAUUGAAAUACCUAAUUACUUUCUUCUCUGUUAUUAGUUUUUUUGCAUUUUUAAAUUUCAAUAUUUUCCCUUCUAGAAACCCCAACAUUUACAUAACAACAAUACUCACUACUCUAUUAGCAAGAUUAACCACAAAUGUUGUAUCCGGUGGGAGAAAAAACUGAUAACAGAUAUUGAGAAAAAACGGGUGCAUCGCUAUUCUUUCGUCAUUAAUGGUCGAAUGAAUUAGUUGGAAAUUAUUGUCCAGUAGGAAUUGGAUCUUUUCUUCUUCGUUACUAACCUGGUUUAUUAAAGUCGGUGCUUGUGGAGAUUGGGUCAGCAAAGAUAUGUAAAAUCCUCUAUCUAAGUUUUCUCUGCUUUAUGUUAUUACUUAACGUCUAUGUGUCCAUUGGCAAUUUUUAUGUCAUUGUUCUAGUUCGUCUUGGAACUUGGACAGUAGAUUGCAGUUAUAACCUGCCUUCUAAUUUUAGAUGAUAAGGGGAAUAAUGUGCUGAAUGGAUCUUCCAAGUACUCUAUCACAAUGGUGGUGUUUAUGCAUAAGCUUCUUUAUAUUUUGUUCUGUUCAUUCUAGACCUGUUUGCAAAUGCAAGUAGUUAUUACGUCAGGGAUUUUGUUUUUUAGUUAGCUUAUGAACUUCCCUUCACUUGUGCACUCUUUAAUUUUUAAUUUUUUUUCUUACAAUUUUUCCAUAGUAUAGGGGAUUCUUGUAACCCCUGAAAAAUGAAAGCAGAGUUAUUGAUUGCUUCUUAUAUGGAUGGAAUGAACAUGUGGAAUGCUAAGUAGAAUUAAUAUACUAAUGUUGGAUAAAAUAGCUAAUAUAAGCUUAUUGAUCAUGAUCCAGUAGUUAAGUAACACUUGGUAAUGGCUUUCCUUGUUUCCAAUAAAUUGCAGUUGUACCGGUCUGUUGGUUUGUCUUAUGCUCGCUGGAGCUUGGUUGGGUUAUUGGGUGGUACCUAAACAUGUUCUAACACAAGAAGGAUCCAGUGAUUCAAGUACAGCUGUUUUCGUCGCUUGGUCAAUUCGCAGCUGUCAUGAUUAUUCAGCUAUAACAUUAAAUAGUUGGCAUCUAAUGGUUACAAUAAGCACACUUCAUGUGGCACGAAGAUUCAAUGUUUUUGAGACCAAGGCAAUUGAUACCGAAACUGUAAUGCUUUGGUAUCCUAAAUGGCGUGUCUACUGGCCUUCUCAAUUUAUGUCUUGGGUUCAGUUCCACUGGAUUCUACCAGGUUAACUAUUUUGAUUUUAUCUUAUGAUCAUUUGAAUAUAGGAUCUGAUUACUUUAGUUUGGUUGUAGUCGUGAAAGCUUAAUCCAGAUGAAAUGAUUUUUCUGUGAAGAUGAUGAAACUUGCAGUAAUACCCUUACUGUAUUGUCGGAGACCCUGUUCCUUAACAAGGUGAGUUUAUCUGUUGUUCAAGUUUGUAUAAGCAAUUGUAUUUGUUUUGUCAAUGUAUUACUUAAACUCUGUCUCAGCCAUGGACUAUCAAAGUUCAUACUUUUGUAAUC